rnacentral:rRNA from 1 species
GCCAGACUCCUACGGGAGGCAGCAGUGGGGAAUAUUGCACAAUGGGGGAAACCCUGAUGCAGCGACGCCGCGUGAGUGAAGAAGUAUUUCGGUAUGUAAAGCUCUAUCAGCAGGAACGAGACAAGACGGUACCUGACUAAGAAGCCCCGGCUAACUACGUGCCAGCAGCCGCGGUAAUACGUAGGGGGCAAGCGUUAUCCGGAAUCACUGGGUGUAAAGGGGGCGCAGACGGCAGCGCAAGCCAGGAGUGAAAGCCCGGGGCCCAACCCCGGGACUGCUCUUGGAACUGCGCGGCUGGAGUGCAGGAGGGGCAGGCGGAAUUCCUGGUGUAGCGGUGAAAUGCGUAGAUAUCAGGAGGAACACCGGUGGCGAAGGCGGCCUGCUGGACUGCGACUGACGUUGAGGCCCGAAAGCGUGGGGAGCAAACAGGAUUAGAUACCCGAGUAUC